rnacentral:rRNA from 1 species
UACGUAGGUGACCAGCGUUGUCCGGAUUUACUGGGCGUAAAGAGCGCGCAGGCGGUCGUUCAAGUCGAGUGUGAAAGCCCCCGGCUCAACUGGGGAGGGUCACUCGAUACUGAUCGACUUGAAGGCAGGAGAGGGAAGCGGAAUUCCCGGUGUAGUGGUGAAAUGCGUAGAUAUCGGGAGGAACACCAGUGGCGAAGGCGGUGGUCUGGGCCGGAACUGACGCUGAGGAGCGAAAGCGUGGGGAGCGAACAGG